rnacentral:rRNA from 1 species
AGCAGCCGCGGUAAUUCCAGCUCCAAUAGCGUAUAUUAAAGUUGUUGCAGUUAAAAAGCUCGUAGUUGAAUUUCGGAAUCAAUAUGUUGGUCGUGCCUUGGUACGUACUAAUUUAUUGGUUUCUUCCUUCUGACGAACCAUGAUGUCAUUAAUUUGGUGUCUUGGGGAAUCAGGACUGUUACUUUGAAGAAAUUAGAGUGUUUAAAGCAGGCUCACGCUUGAAUACAUUAGCAUGGAAUAAUGAAAUAGGACGUUUGAUUCUAUUUUGUUGGUUUCUAGGAUCGACGUAAUGAUUAAUAGGGAUAGUUGGGGGCAUUAGUAUUCAAUUGUCAGAGGUGAAAUUCUUGGAUUUAUUGAAGACUAACUACUGCGAAAGCAUUUGCCAAGGAUGUUUUCAUUAAUCAAGAACGAAAGUUAGGGGAUCGAAGACGAUCAGAUACCGUCGUAGUCUUAACCAUAAACUAUGCCGACUAGGGAUCGGAUGAUGUAAUUUUAANGACUCAUUCGCGCUUAAC